rnacentral:rRNA from 1 species
CCUGGCUCAGAACGAACGCUAGCGGCGCGUUUCAGGCAUGCAGGUCGUACGGCAUCAGCCCUUCGGGGUGUUGGCGAGUGGCGCACGGGUGAGUAACGCGUAGGUAAUCUGCCUUAGGGAAUGGGAUAGCUCUACGAAAGUAGGAUUAAUACCAUAUAGUUUCGUACAGUUUAUUUAUUGUAUGAAUAAAGGUUUCGGCCGCCCUUAGAUGAGCCUGCGUUAGAUUAGCUUGUUGGUAAGGUAACGGCUUACCAAGGCUACGAUCUAUAGCCGAGCUGAGAGGCUGACCGGCCACAUUGGAACGGAGACACGGUCCAGACUCCUACGGGAGGCAGCAGCUAAGAAUCUUCCGCAAUGGUCGAUAGACUGACGGAGCGACGCCGCGUGGAUGAUGAAGGCCUUACAGGUUGUAAAAUCCUUUUAGAUUGGACGAAUGUAUAAUGUAGGUUAUGCUGACGGUACUUUCUGAAUAAGGUCCGGCUAACUACGUGCCAGCAGCCGCGGUAAUACGUAGGGACCUAGCGUUGUUCGGAAUUAUUGGGCGUAAAGGGUACGUAGGCGGUCAAGUAAGUCAGCUGUGAAAACCUCGGGCUCAACCUGGGGCUUGCGGUUGAUACUGCUUGGCUAGAGUCACGGAGAGGAAAGCGGAAUUCCUGGUGUAGGAGUGAAAUCUAUAGAUAUCAGGAAGAACACCUGUAGCGAAGGCUGUUUUCUGGACGUGCACUGACGCUGAGGUACGAAAGUUAGGGUAGCAAACAGGAUUAGAGACCCUGGUAGUCCUAACUGUAAACGUUGUAUACUAGGUGGUGGGAGUAUUGAUCCUUUCACUGCCGCAGCUAAUGCAUUAAGUAUACCGCCUGGGGAGUAUGCCGGCAACGGUGAAACUCAAAGGAAUUGACGGGGGCCCGCACAAGCAGUGGAGCAUGUUGUUCAAUUCGAUGAUACGCGAGGAACCUUACCAGGUCUUGACAUAUACCUGACGCACAUAGAAAUAUGUGUUUCCUUCGGGACAGGUAUACAGGUGCUGCAUGGUUGUCGUCAGCUCGUGCCGUGAGGUGUUGGGUUAAGUCCCGUAACGAGCGCAACCCCUAUUCUUUGUUGCUAACAGUUUAAGCUGAGCACUCGGAGGAAACUGCCGGUGACAAACCGGAGGAAGGUGGGGAUGACGUCAAAUCAUCACGGCCCUUAUGACCUGGGCUACAAACGUGCUACAAUGGACGGUACAAAGAGUUGCGAGACCGCGAGGUGGAGCUAAUCUCAAAAAAGCGUCCUCAGUUCGGAUUGGAGUCUGAAACCCGACUCUAUGAAGCUGGAAUUGCUAGUAAUCGCACAUCAUAAUGGUGCGGUGAAUAUGUUCCCGGGCCUUGUACACACCGCCCGUCACAUCACCCGAGUUAAAUAUACCCGAAGUAUCCGAGCUAACGGCAUUU